GUAGGUGGCAAGCGUUGUCCGGAAUUAUUGGGCGUAAAGCGCGCGCAGGUGGUUCUUUAAGUCUGAUGUGAAAGCCCCCGGCUCAACCGGGGAGGGUCAUUGGAAGCUGGGGAACUUGAGUGCAGGAGAGGAAAGUGGAAUUCCACGUGUAGCGGUGAAAUGCGUAGAUAUGUGGAGGAACACCAGUGGCGAAGGCGACUUUCUGGCCUGUAACUGACACUGAGGCGCGAAAGCGUGGGGAGCAAACAGGGAUUAGAUACCCUGGUAGUCCACGCCGUAAACGAUGAGUGCUAAGUGUUGGGGGGGGUUUCCGCCCCCUCAGUGCUGCAGCUAACGCAUUAAGCACUCCGCCUGGGAGUACGGUCGCAAGACUG
rnacentral:rRNA from 1 species